rnacentral:lncRNA from 1 species
GCAGUUUGGGUGGGAUGUGCCAGGAACAGACGCACACACACACACACACAUGGCAUGUCUGAGAGGAAGCCCCCUGGUACCUGCACGCCCACCCUCUCAGCCCAACUCCCCUUCUCUUCCUCUGCAGCUCCACUCAGAACAGCAGCACCAGCUUCCCAAACAGAUCUCACCCCAGAGCAUCUGACUGGCAGCAGAAGCAUCUCAUUACCUGUCGUCAUCUGCAUCAUCCUGGGGGGCCUUCUCUGCCUGCUCCUGGCCCUCCUGGUUGGGCAAAUACAAAGCGCCAGGGCUUGGCGCAAAGCCCUGCCUCUCUCUGUGGGCUCUGGGACAUCUUGGGAGCCCUUCCCUGCAGCUGUGUAUGAGGAAAUCAAUUACAGACUGGCGUGGGAGAAAGAGGCAAAAUUCAGGGGCUCAGGCUCCUAUUCAGAGGGGUUCCCGAUCAAGCUGCAGCCCUACCCCCAGGACAGCAAGGAGGAGGAUGGUCUGGGGCCAGCACCAGAUGUCCUUGACCCGCCUGGAGGUUACCAAGCAGAUGGCUAUGAUGAUGUUAGGGAGGCUUCUGGCCCUGGGGAGGAUCCUGUGUCCAGGCAGGGAGACUGGGAAAUGCCCGUGGCACCAGAGGAGGGAGCAGGGCCCAUGGAUGCACCUGGAGGGGCAAACCUGCCCUCCCAGAGAAGUGCUGGGGCCCCUGGAACUGUGGAAGGUGCCUGGUCCCUGUCCCUGGAGAGUGCAGGCUAUGACGAUGCUGAAGAAGUGUCUCUGGCACAUCCUCCUGAGGACACAGAGGCUGUGGCACCAGGGAGGGAUGCGAGAAAGCAGGCGCUGCUAAAUCUGAGCCAGGGUCCCUCUCCCUCAGCCGGGGCUGUCGCCUGCCCCAGCUCCCAUGGGCAGAGAAACCUUUCACACAGGGCAGGGAGACGGAUUUGACACCUUGGUAAGAAUGUGCAGCCCCGACUGCCCUCCCUGCUCCUGCUGGUGCAUCUCCACAAGCCUCAGGCCCUGACGGGCUCUUCUGCUGAAGGCUGGAAGGUAUGCUGGGCAUUCAUGGCAACGCUCCCUGAGGGAGCAGCGACAACAGGGUAGCACUACAAACAGCAGGACCCGGCCUUAGAGCACAAGAGGGUAGGAGGCCCCAUGGUGUCAGCUACUGCAGUGGGCGGCAUCUCUUUC